rnacentral:rRNA from 1 species
AACGAACGCUGGCGGCAGGCCUAACACAUGCAAGUCGAACGCUCCGCAAGGGGAGUGGCGCACGGGUGAGUAACACGUGGGAACCUACCUUCUGGUACGGAACAACCAAGGGAAACUUUGGCUAAUACCGUAUACGACCUCCGGGUGAAAGAUUUAUCGCCGGAAGAGGGGCCCGCGUCCGAUUAGGUAGUUGGUGGGUAAUGGCCUACCAAGCCGACGAUCGGUAGCUGGUCUGAGAGGAUGGCCAGCCACACUGGGACUGAGACACGGCCCAGACUCCUACGGGAGGCAGCAGUGGGGAAUAUUGGACAAUGGGCGCAAGCCUGAUCCAGCCAUGCCGCGUGAGUGAUGAAGGCCU